GAAACUCGGAUGGCCAGAGCUCCACAAAAUGCCAACGUCCCGGCGUCCUUGUGCGCUCUCUUCUCGAGAAAAGCAGCGAGAGCAAGAGCUUAGCAAGCACAAAAAGAAGAACAAAGACUGAAGGGCAGAUAGUGGGAGAGAGAGAGAGAGAGAGAGAGAAGACGUUCUAAGUGUACGGUAAGAAGAUAAGCUUAACGGCGCAUUCCGCUCGGUCAGAGUCAAAGCAAACAUGUCACGACAUGCACAAACAGAAGACGCCAACUGUUGUCAUUCCGCUCCUGUCACUCCAGCUCCCUAUCUCGCUCUAUUUUCGACUCUGCUGUUUGCACUGCCCUUUCUAGUUUAUCUAUUGCAUGUGAUAAAGUUCAACUUUGACAUUUACACCGCGCAUGUCCCAAAAAUGUAAGGAACAAUUGAGUUUACACAGGUUGCCCAGUGAUUUUUGAACGUGUAGUCGCUCUAACGAUCCCUUGAUUAGACUUGAACUGGCAACAAACUUGCAACACCUGCGUCAAGUGAGGAACUGGUGGUGUGACCCGGCAGUGUGACCUCCAGCGAUUGGAAGCCUGCCAAAUUGGAAUCAAUGACCAGCCGCCAGCCAAUUCCAACACAUGCCAUAAGGACCUUCUGGGCACCACGCACAUCCUCCGCCUCGUCCUCGUCCUCCGCCUCGGGAUUCUCCAGC